CUGCUUCGGCCAUGUUCGCUCCAGUUCGGCAAGAAAGCGUUACCUUCGUAGCUUCUACCGCGUAUUUUUCCUUGAAAGGUCGUUGGCUGUUGACUGGAAGAAGGAAGAUGAAGAUGGCGCAAUGUCAGGCUGCCUUUCGCUCCGAGAGCCAGCAGUUCGAGCUGGUUUACUGGCUCGUCUGCCCACUUCUUUCUUAACUGUGGCUGCCUGGGCAGCUGUGGCUGGGCUGACGUGAAGUCGCCCGCCCCUGGGGGCGCAUGCGCCCCUGGCUAAUAAUAACCCAGGAGCUCCCAACUUUAAAUGCGGGCCGCAAGGCCCAAGCACCCAACUCCACCAAGGUUGAUUUUUCAGCCCCUCCAACUCUUCUUACCUGGACCCUUCUUCCUCUUGUCCAGUAGUUACCUGCUUGCUUAAUGCAUGUUAAUUGAUCCCCGCAUGAACCGGCCCAGGGUUUUCCCUGUGUCUAUGCAGGUUUUACCUGGGUCACACUUAGCUAGCUUUUAAGCUAGGCGACCAAUGGGGCGUCAGUCAUGGCGCCAAUUGCAGCCAUGGCUGGCCAGUAAACCCCAAUAAGCACAUGAUGCACGCGCCCUUGUCCUGCAUGGUUAAAAACCCGCAUGGUAGAGUGUAUAGGCUUCGGCCUGAGACACACUUAGGUCCUCCCCUAACCUGGACCCUCCCCUACACACUUAGAAUUAACUUAGGCUAGGAAAAAAAAAAAAAAAUUUCCAGCCAAUCCCCUCCCUGAACCUUUGUACCAUGCCACCCCCCUUCCGAAAGGAAACUACUGCGGCAGCCUUCCUGCUGAAAGCGAUCCUACCAGCGCUUCUAAACCUAGCAACGCUUCUAAAACAGCAUGUUUUUGUGUCAACGAGUUCUUUUUUCAUAGCGCACAGCGCACAGUAUUGGGUCCCAAGAAGAUAGUGUAAAAAAUACAUACACCUAACUGCACGAGCCAAAGUAAAAUACUAUUCUGAAUAAAAUAUUUAUUUAAAAAAUACAAUGUCUGGAAACUGCCUGGGCAAGCACUGCUUGCCUUGCUUGCCCUGACGAGACGCCACUGAUCUGUAGCAUUGUAUUAGUUUCAAAUUAGGCCUAUUUAAUUUAAUGAUUAGGUUUUUAUAAAAUUAUUCAAAACCAAAUUAAGUCCGGAGGAUUUACCAAAUAUAUUAAUUGUACUAAUUUCCUGCAAUGAAUGUGGCUGCUACUGAUCAAAUGAAAUAUUAUUGGCCAAGGAUAAUUUUAGUCCGCAAAAAGAUAAAAGUUCGUUAUGGAUUGUGCUUUGGGCUAUGGAAUUGAGUAUUGUUAGUCUAAAAGUUAAUUUUUCUUUUUGCAGAUGUCACUCUCAAAGUCCAGACUUACUGAGUUUAAUGAUGGCUGGCUUUGUGAUCAACGGUUUCAGCCAUGGCUUCAAAAGGUUGAGAAAGACAAGCAUGUCUUCUUCUGCUCUUUGUGUCGGAGCACUCUCAGUUUAAGCAACAUGGGAAAAAGAGCAGUUACAAGUCAUCUCAAUGGUCAGAAACAUAAGUCUCGUUCUCGGGUAAAUAGUGAAUGUGAUCUGAGAAUUUUUCUAAAAAAAAGUAACACUGAUGCAAGUACUAGUUCUCAGGAGUCUUCAAGAUUUAGUCAAUCUGAGGAAAGUUUGCAAGAGAAUAAAUGUGCAAAAGAUGUUAAUGAAAGUGAAAAUUUGUCAUUCUUAAAUACAAAAGAAAUUGUCUCCCAACAGUCUGUUACGUCUCGUCCAUUGCAGUCAUUCUUAUUGAAAAAUGAAAAUACCAAAGCCGAUAUAUUAUGGUGCCUUCUAGUUGUAAUGAAUCAUUGGUCAGUGAAUUCUGCAGGGAAAGCUGUUCAAGUUUUCAAAGCUAUGUUUAGUGAUAGUUCAAUAGCCAUGAACAUGCGUCUUCAACGCACAAAGAUUUCAUACACCAUAGUUUAUGGUUUAGCUCCAUAUUUUCACAAGGAGUUAUUGCAAGAAAUUUCUCAGUGUGAUUUCUUUGUCAUUUCUUUUGAUGAAUCACUUAAUAAAAUUGCCCAGAAAGAACAGAUGGACAUUGUCAUUCGCUUUUGGAGCAAAUCUAAGGACACUGUAAGUACACAUUAUUUCACUUCAGUUUUUUUGGGUCAUACAACUGCUGCUGACCUUAUACGAUCUUUUAAAGAGGCAGUAUCAGAACUAGACUUACGAAAGCUAAUGCAAUUAUCCAUGGAUGGGCCAAAUGUGAAUAUUAAGCUUUUGGCAGACUUAAAAGCAGACUUGAACAGAGACCCUUCAGAUCAUGUGAUAAUGGAAAUUGGCUCGUGUGGGUUGCAUACUCUUCACAAUGCUUUUAAGGUCGGAAUGAACAGUUGUGAAUGGAAAAUUUUUCAAUUUUUGCAUGCUAUUUACAACUUUUUCAAGGAUCAGCCUGCAAGAAGGAGUGACUACACAAUGUUUUCUGGAUCAACAAAAUUUCCAGUUAAAUUUUGUAAUGUGAGAUGGCUUCAGAACUUUGAGGUUGCACAGAGGGCCCUUGAAAUUAUUCCCAACUUGAAGAAGUAUGUAGAGGGAGUUAAGGAAAAUAAGAAGGAACCAGUUAUGUCUGGUAGCUAUGCAGCAAUGGUAGGAGGUAUAAGUGACAAAUUGAUGCCUGCUAAAUUAGCUUUCUUUUGUUUUCUUGUGAAGGAAAUAGAAGACUUCUUGGAGUGCUUUCAAACUGAUGCCCCUAUGGCACCCUUCUUACACACAGAACUCACUAACAUUCUUAUGUCCUUGAUGAAACAUUUUGUGAAGCCUGAGACAGUAAGUUCCAAGAGUAUAGCAAGCAUUGAUUUGUCAAAAUCUGAAGCUCUGUUACAUGCAAAGAAGGUAGAUGUAGGGUAUGGUACACGUGAUGCUCUAAGACGAAUAGAUUCAGUUAAAGAAAUUUACAUUCUUUCUUUCAAGCAGGACUGCCGCACAAUUCUCCAAACAACGUGCAAGAAAAUUAUAAUCAAGUCUCCUUUAAAAUUCAAGCUUGCGAAGGGUAUUACUUGUUGUGAUCCACAAAUGAUAGUGAAAUCGCCCCAAAUAGCUGAGCAGCGUUUACAGAUGUCAUUAAAAGUGUUUGUAGAAAACAACUGGCUGUCUGGUUUGGAAGCACAGAAAAUCCACUUUAACUUCAAAGAAGUCUUUCAGAGUCCAGAAAUGUUAGCAGAUUUAAAGAAUUUUCGUCGAAAAGAAUCUAGGUUAGAUGAGUUCUGGACAAAAUUUGUAGUGAAGCAUGAUACAUCCAAAGAACUAGUAACAUUUAUCAAAAUGGUUGGUAUUUUCGCAUGGUAAUGCAAGUGUAGAACGUGGGUUUUCAGUUAAUAAAGAUUGUCUUGUUGAAAACAUGCAUGAGAGGUCUCUGAUUGCACAAAGACAAGUUUGGGAUGGAGUGCAAGCAUCUGGUGGAGUUGUACAAGAUUUGAAUAUUACAAAGACUAUGAUUCUGUCUGCCCGCAAUGCUCAUAGUAAAUAUCAGGAUGCACAGACUGAACAGAAGAAAAGUAAUGAAGAUAAAGAAAAAGAAAAGGAUGAGAAGAAAAGGGUUGCAAAUAUUAAAAAUGAUCUUGAAAUGCAAAAAAAGAAGAAACUGGAAGAGUUGACCCUUGUUGAUGAACAAAUUCGUGGCCUUGUGAAGAAAUAUUAAAUUGGGAUUUUAAUCAUUGAGAAGUGUGGAAGUUGUGUAAAUACUUGUGCUUAAGUGAACUAAGUAUUAUGUUAAAUGUCUUAAAAAUGUGCAUCAAAAAAUGUAGAUCUAUGUUACUGUGUGGGAAGCAUUAAGUUUUCAACAAACUGUAAAGCAUAAACUUAUGUUUUACUACUGCAAAAAUUUUUCUGAAUGGAUGAAUUAAUGCUGUUGGUGCUCAGACAGGUAAGGAAUUAAUUAUACAACUAUAUGUUAAAUUUGAAGUAUUCAGCUGUUGAAAUUGCCAGCAGAUGUUGUGUUGCAAUUUUUUUAAUGAAUAUUUUUUUUCAAAAACAGAAAGUGUUUUGUAACUGUCUUCCAUAUAGGAUUAUCAGAAAAUAUGAAUACAGUAUGUUAGCUUAAUGAGUUUUCUUACUUAUCAGUAGGUGUAGGGCAAUAAUUUUGUUUAUAGUUGAAUGUAUGUAUUAACAUAACCUCGCUUCAUCUACUAGUAUUCUCUAUUGCUAUUGCAUAGUAACUAAACAAACUUAAUUUACUUAGUCCAAAAGUUCUAACAAUGAAACUAUUGCGAUUUGAAUAACAAAAAAUAUCAUCCUUUUUGUGAUUUUGUAGUAAAAAAAUUGUCAGGGAAAAACAUCUUUUUUGUCUGGAAAUCAGGGAAAUGUCAGGGAAUUGGUAAAUGAAAAAUUAGUGGCAACCCUGAGUCAGUAGCAUGGGUCCACAAGCACUUACCAGUCAUAUGUCUGGCAAGAAACAUAAAAACAGGGCAAAAGCUUUAACUGCAUCACCAGCUAUUACAUAGUUCUUUCUUCACUUCCUCACCCUCUACCAGUUCACUUUCAAUUGAUUCUUCCACACCUACCGGUUAAACACAAAACCAUGAAACUGUGGAACUGCAAUCAGAAAGUGAAAAGAACACAGACGUAAUUCAAACAACAUAUUCUAAAUCAGCAGGACUUCAGAAAUUUAUUUUGAAUGAAAACGUAACAAAAUCUGAAAUUAUUUGGUGCUUGCAGACUGUUAUGUCACAUUAAGUCAAUGCGAAUGGCAGCCAAAGAUGUGAAUCGUUUUGAACAUGUGUUCCCAGAUAGUGACAUUGCAUGCAAAAUGAAGCUUCAGAGAACUAAAAUAGAUUACACACUACUGUUUGGGCUUGCACCAUUUUUCAGGCGAGAACUAGAAAAAAUUGUAGCAAUGUGUUCUCAGUUUGUUCUUGGAUUUGAUGAGUCUCUUAAUAAGGUGAGCCAGCAUCAACAAAUGGAUAUGAACGUUCGAUACUGGGACACCGAGAAAGGUGAGGUACCUGCCUACGUGGCAAGAUCUUCUGAAACACCUAUACUCGCUUCACCUCCACGCUGUUGUGUCCAGAAUCAUGAUAGUAGAAGGGCUGGAGUUCUACUGCCAGGAAGCCGGCAGACCCUUCGAUGAGAUGCAUGCUGCCCUUGUCUUUGCUUCGCUGCUGGACGCGGCCGCAGUGUGCGGCAAGCGGUGGGGGAAGAUGUCGUACCUGGUUGGUUCCCUCAACAGCGAGUUCCACGCGGACAAGAUGAACAGGGUCGUGGAUGUUUUCUUUAGUGAUGCAGUUUGGCUCGUGGAAUCUAACGACACUGCAGUAACAGUCACGAGUGCCUCGCAGUGUUCUGGUCAACACAGCCGUACGAGAUUGGAAUUCUUGCAGAAAAAUGUUCAUAGCCCUUUGAUUCUGAAGCAGAUUCUUAGUUUAGUAGAUAUUCAUACAUAGACUUUAAAUACUUUACAUGAAGUUGCAAUGUACAUUUAUUUUUGCCAUAUUUUUGAAUCUUGAUGUUAGCAUGUAGUUGUAUGCUUUACGAUUUAUGUUAUCAAUAUUAUUCAAAAUUAUUUAAAGAAUGAGCUGUUAUAAUUUUUUUCAAAGUCAGUUUGAAAAGGUUAUAUGAUUGACAAACAACUUGGGUGUGGUAAUCUGUAACAGUCGGUUUCACCUUACUUCACAGACAUUGCAACCAACGUAACUCGACUACUUCCAUUUGAGAAGUACUGUGUCAGUGUUGAGUUGUUACUGUUUAUAUUUUGUUAGGUUGGCUGAAAAUAAUUUAAAAUUAGUUUUAAAAAACUAAACUUAUAACCUUUACAGUUUACUAAAAUCAGAGUUGCUAUACUGGGAAUUAAACCCAAGUUCUCAGGAAUGCAAGAUCAUAGAUACAGUAAAACAUGCUUAAGACAUUCCCGCAUAAUACGUUUUCCUGAUUAUUAAUUUCACUUCCAUGUAUCCCUAUGUUAACUUUUCCCAUUCAUAACGUUUGCAUUAAUAAAUGCUUCCUGCAUUUUCGGCGUUUGUGGUAAAAAAAAGUUUAUUUUAAACUUUUAUUUAUUUUUAAUUUUAAAAAUUAACUUAUUUCUGAACAAUAACAAAAUAAUUUGAACUUGCACAAGACCGUUGAAACCUUUGUCAGAUGCCGCAUGCUGUUAUAAGUGUAUUUUUCGACCAAUCAUCUGCUUGCAUUGAGACGCUGUUCCAUCUGCACGCCAUUUCCCCUAUUCGAGGCAGAACAUCAGAUGAAUGAGAAACGUGCACUACCGUCAAAACAUGUGCUACACACCGCACGCUGUUACAAGUUUUAUUUUCAACCAAUCAUCUGCUUGCAUUCGUAUAGACUGAGAGGCUAUUCCAUCAACACACCUUUUUUCCUAUUUGAGUUAUAACACGUAACGAAUACGAAGUAAACCAUAAUUACUACUAGCCAUUACUUAUUUUUUAGUUAGGCGAUCUACUACCAGCCAUUACUUAUUUUUUAGUUAGGCUAUCUUUUUAGGUAUGAUUUUAAGGUUAUCAAGCAUAAUAAAUAUUUAGUGUUAUGGCAAACAGUGCGUAAUGGCAUCUUCCAGUAAUGGAGAACCCAUUAAACGCAAGGCGUUAUUGUUUGAAGAAAAACUGAAAAUAAUAUAAUGCAAAUCCUUUGAUACCAAUAGUGAGUAUGGCAAAAAAAUUGGGUUGCAGCCAUCUACUUUGAACGGAAUCAUGAUGAAGCUAGGGGUGGGCGGGAUCCCGAAACUUGGGAAGAAGUUCGGGAAAAAAACACUUUCUCGAACUUCGGGAAAACAACUCUUUAGUACCAUCUGGAAAAUGAUAUAGGUAACAAUUAACAACUGAAACUUACAUUUCACAGUGUUUAUCUUUCUCUUUGAGGUUAAUUCAAAUAAAAUGACGACAGUCGUCGUGCCCUCCUAGAUACAGAGGCCGUACCUUUCCGCCGAUGUAGGCCUAAGGGAGGUAUGUUUUCCCUAGUGCACCGGCUGUGAAGUGCUACGAGCAGGGACGCACCCGCGUGCGCCCUGGUACGUCAGCGGACGUCAGGGUGUUGUAUAUAGUUAUGUUUUGUAUGCACAUUUUUAAAUAACCACGAGCCUCCACAAUUAUAUAUACAUGUGACGUAACAACUCUGACGUCUGGAAUAGUGAAUGUAAAUGUUGUGUAAAUACUUUGUUUGUCUUUAAUCCGUAACUUAUUAAUUCAUUUGUGUUUGUGUUUCAUUCAUUAAUUGCUUUUCAUGUCGUCUUAAUAAUUCUUUAACUCAUUCAAGUGCUAUGUUAGUCAUGUAAUCGCAGCCUGGCACACCGCGAGGCGGGCCUCUCUCACGCAGGCCGAUUUCCCCUCCCCUCCUCCGCGGCCGUGGGCCUCGGCUCGCAGGCGGGCGGAGGAGGGCAGUGGCGAACCAGACGCGGGGACGAGCAGACGUGCGCUCGCUCCACUCCGCUCGGGAGACGCGUUUCUUAGCUCCGAGUUCGCAGUCAGUGAAAGCGUCACGGGACUGCCUCUGUAGUUGAGCUGCUCUAUAUCAGCAUUCGUUGUACCGCUGAACUUUUCUCAGUCAUUACGUAUCGUUUCGGGACUUUAGUUGCAUACGUCAUAGGCCGUGUAUGUGCCUCUCCGAACCGCCGAACUCUCUCGGUCAUCACGUGUAUUUACUGGACCUUUGCCGCUUACGUGACGGGUCGCGUACAUGCUGCAUAGCACUGCUAAACUUUCGUAACCGGUACGAUUCGCUACGGAGUUACCUUCUCCGUCAUUUCGGGUCGCAUCUUGUGGCCAAGACUUAUUUCCGGGAGUCCGGGUAGUGGCGGGGAGGACGCUCGUUCUGCGAUGUGCCGGCCAGGCUGCGGCAGGAUUCUUCACGGAUUAAAAGGGCUCGUGAAAACGGA